ACGGAUCACGCCGCGUGAACGAUGAAGGUCUUCGGAUCGUAAAGUUCUGUUGUCAGGGAAGAACAAGGCCGUGCGAAUAGAGCGGCACCUUGACGGUACCUGACGAGGAAGCCCCGGCUAACUACGUGCCAGCAGCCGCGGUAAUACGUAGGGGGCAAGCGUUGUCCGGAAUUAUUGGGCGUAAAGCGCGCGCAGGCGGUUCCUUAAGUCUGAUGUGAAAGCCCACGGCUCAACCGUGGAGGGUCAUUGGAAACUGGGGAACUUGAGUGCAGAAGAGGAGAGUGGAAUUCCACGUGUAGCGGUGAAAUGCGUAGAUAUGUGGAGGAACACCAGUGGCGAAGGCGACUCUCUGGUCUGUAACUGACGCUGAGGCGCGAAAGCGUGGGGAGCAAACAGGAUUAGAUACCCUGGUAGUCCACGCCGUAAACGAUGAGUGCUAGGUGUUAGGGGGCUUCCACCCCUUAGUGCUGAAGUUAACGCAUUAAGCACUCCGCCUGGGGAGUACGGCCGCAAGGCUGAAACUCAAAGGAAUUGACGGGGGCCCGCACAAGCGGUGGAGCAUGUGGUUUAUUCGAAGCAACGCGAAGAACCUUACCAGGUCUUGACAUCUUCGGAGCAA
rnacentral:rRNA from 1 species